CCGUUCAGGGGUUGCUCGAUUUGUACUGCGCAUGUGCAAAAGCGCAUCACGACACUUGUCCUGCGGAUGUGCUCGAUUAGAUAUUUUGUGAUGAGUAUAUGUGAUAGCAGUAUGGACUCUUUUGCAUUUGAUGUAGAACUUAAAUAUUAUCUCUUAAAAGGAGAAAUUCCUGACAGCCCUACAGAGUGUCGGAAGGUAAAACGGGCGUCUACGAAUUAUACCCUCAAAGAUGACAGACUCUUCUACACGGGCCCUAGCAGAGCAGGCAGUACAUACGGCUAGUUGUCCUGUCAGAGGAAGAGAAAACAUCUGAUCUUACAGAGUGCCACAAUAACCCAGGACCUGGCAAUGGUGUGGUCUCUGUGGUGUCAAGAGUCACUCAAAACAGGGUUAUUGCUGGCUACUAUUGGUCCACAAUAAUCAACGACGUGAAAGAAUGGGUGAGAUCUUGUCACUGCUGCCAGCUGAGUGACCCCAUCAAACUGUUGUGCCAGUCUUGCAUUCCAUUAAGGUAAAAGAAGCUUGGAAGGUGCUCAUGAUUUAGAUUGAUUGGACCACUACCAGAAACAGAAUGCAGCAACAAGUAUGUCUGUACCAUGACUGACUGUACACCAAGUGGGUGAUUUCAGAACCCAUGCAGUCCAAGACAGCUGAAGCUGAGAAGAUGCAUAAUUUUAAACCUGGCAGCUUUCACAAGGAUGUAAUCGAUCUGCCUUUAAUUUCAGAUUGGAAAUGCUUGCCUCAAGAUUGUAGAAGAAGCUGCACACCAACAUUUACUGUGUAAUAUUGUGGCCAGACAAGGCUUAGCUUACGCCAGGACUAGGCCUUAGUUAAUUAUCUGCAUGCUGAUGUAUGCACCUGCACAUCGUGUCCAUUAACAUUCACAGAGGUAAGAUAGAUUUUCACACAAGAAAACAUAUGCCAUCAAACUACUGUGUGUGCGUUCGUGCAUGUGUGUGUUUUAGGAGGAGGUUCCAUUGAUUUGCCAGUGGUGGUGCAUUCAACAACUGUAUGAUAGACUAUCCAGCCAAUAUAAUAUUACAUCGGUAAAGUCACUGUUGGUAAAGUGAGAACAUAUUAGUGACUGUUUAAACUGCCAUUUGCGGGUUUCGUUCGCGCACACACAGCCAAUCUAACGUUGUUUUUAAACGCAUCAUUUGUUUUUUCAUGUCACAGACACCCGAUGGUAGUCCAAACCAUUGCAGUCUAUCUGUCCUUCCGGUUUUCUUCCCACCUUUUCAAUUUCAACAUGGCAGCGGAGUGAAAUCUAUUGUGGCAAAAUGUCAUCAGAAAGGUCCUGAGGCGUCAAUUCUCCAAGGCAAAGGAUGACUUUUUGUUUGUAUUUCAGUAUCAAGAAGACAUGGAAACAUGUUUUGGCAUACUAUUGAUAAACAUGGCCUAAAGGUCAAUGCCAUGUUCCUCAAUCAGCAAUUUAAGUAGAUGAGUGAGUGUGUGACUGAGGGAGGGAGGGAUGGAGGCAGGUAGUGAGUGAAUGAAUGACUAAAGAAAAGGAACAAAUGUAUAAAUAAAUAAAUUGAAUGAAUUCAGAAAAUUCCGUGUUUCUUAAAUAAAGACAUUUGUUAAAGUAUGCUAAAAUAUGUAGAGCAUGACAUAAUAUAAUACACACACUUUGCUAAAUAGUGUCUUAAAAUUCAACUUAAUAGUUAACAUUUGUAUUUAAUUUUUCAGUUAUUUAAUUGGGAUAACAAUUUGUGCCACAUAUUAACCUUUACAUAUUUUGCCAAAAACAAGUAUUUAA